AUUGAACGCUGGCGGCAGGCCUAACACAUGCAAGUCGAACGAGUGGCGGACGGGUGAGUACUGUCUGGGCAAUUGCCUGAUGGAGGGGGAUAACUACUGGAAACGGUAGCUAAUACCGCAUACCAUCGGAUGUGCCACAAUGGGAUUAGCUAGUAGGUGGGGUAAAGGCUCACCUAGGCGACGAUCCCUAGCUGUUUUGAGAGGAUGACCAGCCACACUGGAACUGAGACACGGCCCAGACUCCUACGGGAGGCAGCAGUGGGGAAUAUUGCACAAUGGGCGCAAGCCUGAUGCAGCCAUGCCGCGUGUAUGAUGAAGGCCUUCGGGUUGUAAAGUACUUUCAGCUGGGAGGCGUUACCCGCAGAAGAAGCACCGGCUAACUCCGUGCCAGCCGCCGCGGUAAUUC
rnacentral:rRNA from 1 species